GAGCCCGCGUUUUGCCCCAGGCUUUUCUCUCUUCAAACUCUUCCUCCGUUCCCAUUCGGCAAAACCUCCAUUCCUUCAUCCUUGUGCGCUUGUAACCUUGCCACCUUAGAUGCAGCUGUCUCCGUCUUCCCCGCGCUUCACCUUCACCUGUUUUCUUUCCCGGUCUCGUGGUCGUCGUGUUCCCUGCUGGUUCAGAAUUUUCAGGAAUUGUAACUUUCAAUUUCAGGGAUCUUGAGAGAGGAGAAGUUAUUUCCGAGAAGCUAUUGAUCAAUCUAUGUUUGCCAUUGUUGUGCUCUCAGAGAAUUAUGCUUCUUCAUCGUGUUUGGAUGAAUUGCAGAAGAUCGUAGAAUCCAAACAUGACUCGAAUCCAACAAUUUUUCCAGUUUUUUACGGCACAGAUCCAUCUGAUGAAUGUGGUACAAUUCGUAGGUUUGAUUCUCGGAAGGUCUCAAGGGAGAUAACCCAUAUACCACCAUGAAGAAAAGGCGGUCAUUGCAAUGAUGACACCUGCUGAUCUAGUGCCAAGGAGGUCCAGAGUGGUGCCCUAGUAUUGAUACACACAAAAUUCUUUUUUUUUUCAAUGAUAUGCAAUGCUUUCAAAAUAAAUGAAUGCAAACUAUAUAUUUAUUUGCAAACAGUUAAGCAUUUAAUUAAAUAGAAUAAAUUA